UGGAGAUUGACAGUGAGUCUUC
rnacentral:snRNA from 1 species